rnacentral:rRNA from 1 species
UACGUAGGGUGCAAGCGUUGUCCGGAAUUAUUGGGCGUAAAGAGCUCGUAGGCGGUCUGUCGCGUCGGAUGUGAAAAUCCAGGGCUCAACCCUGGACCUGCAUUCGAUACGGGCAGACUAGAGUUCGGCAGGGGAGACUGGAAUUCCUGGUGUAGCGGUGAAAUGCGCAGAUAUCAGGAGGAACACCGGUGGCGAAGGCGGCUUUCUGGGCCUUACCUGACGCUGAGACGCGAAAGCGUGGGGAGCGAACCGG